CGUCGCCGCUCCAGGACGCGGCCUCGGGGGAGCCCUACCGGGACGGAGCCGCGGGGCCUGCGACUUCCCCCGGAGCUGGCCUGAGGGAUUCUCCUGUCCAUGGCUGCCACCAAAACUUCGAGUUAUGAUGAACAUUUCAGGCCAGAAAAGUUAAGAGAAUGGCCGGAGCCCGAGUCCGUUUCUUUAAUGGAGGAUUGGGACAGCGCCUGCGAGCAGGUGUUGAAGGGGAAUGUUCGGGUUCAGAUUUGGCCGAGAGGGUGGCCAAGAGUGUUUCCAGUCGCCAGCCUGGGGGCUGGUGCACCGACGGGGGCGGGCAGCCGGGCGGGUGAAGGCAGCCACCCCAGCUCCCCGGCAGAAGCCAGGUCUGGGCUUGCCAGUCAAUUCUGCAUACUUCAGCGUCUGGUAUUAGCUAGAGAAGACAUUGAUGAAGCAGUACGUGCAAUAUUAUUUAGAGAAAAUUCCAUUGUGAAGAGAUUGGAUACGUAUUUUCAGCAUGUGGAUACUUUUAAGGAAAGAAGAAAAGAGAUGUUACAUAAAAAAUGGGUUGAAAAUGUUGCAGAGCCUCUUCAGCAGAGAAUUAUGGAAAAAGUAAUUUCAUAUAAAGAGCUUAAAAUGAAACAAGAGAAUGUUGAAUAUUAUUUACAGCACAGACAUAAAAUGGUUACAGUCCCACCAUUUGUUGAUCCUCUGUUUCAAAGACAGCAAGAGGUGGAUGAAGAGAAGAGAACUGGUCUUCAGUGUGAGACAGGAAAACGACAUUCCAUAAAAGAACUUAAAGAAAUAGAGAAGGCCAGGCUGCAUGCCAGCUCGCCCUACUUCACUUUCACUUCACACUGUGUGAUUCCAAAAGAGUGGCAUAAAGCCUCUGCAAGAGCCAGGAGUAAAACUUACAAAUACAGUCCUGAAAAGCUCAUCUGUGCAGACAAGAAACAGAAAAGAAAAGAGAAAAAGACGGCCGACCUAAGUCAGGCUGCGUUUGAAAGGCAGUUCCUUUCCUCAAAGCUCAGCCAGAAGAACAAAGUGGGUGAAAGAAAGGGUCUGGCCCUGUACCCUGAGGCCUGAGGCGCAGGACCCUCCCAGGGAAGGCCUAGGGGGCUUGGUGGGCCACCGCUCAGCUCAGGACCUGACAGCGUCACUCCCACCCCUCGCCACCACACACACAGGAUGGGGGACUGCUGCUGCUUUCCAGCCUGUGAGCCUGGAUAGGUAUUUUGUGACCCAGCUCCUGCUCAGUCCCAUCGCUGUCCCCGGUCUCUCCAGGGAGUAAGGGAUUCUCCGUCUGUGGUUUUAGGAACCAGACAGCAGAGACCCCGUUCCUGGGCUGCUGGGGACAGCCAACAGCACAGGGGUCCCCAGCCUGUGGGAAGAAGAGUGAUGACAGCUGAGGUCCUGGGGCAGCACCUGGCCUCCCUGCAGAAGGUGGCCAGGCAGGGCCACCCUUGGUACUGAAGCUUCGUGGACUUGACUUGGCAGUGUCUGUACAGCAGUUAAAAUACUCUAAACAUAUUUUCUUUCUCCAGAAGUGGAAAUAAAUUGCAAGAAAUACCCAAA